UACGUAGGGGGCAAGCGUUGUCCGGAUUUAUUGGGCGUAAAGAGCUCGUAGGUGGUUCGGUAAGUCGGAUGUGAAAUCUCCAGGCUCAACCUGGAGGGGUCAUUCGAUACUGCCGUGACUAGAGGUCGGUAGGGGAGUGUGGAAUUCCUGGUGGAGCGGUGAAAUGCGCAGAUAUCGGGAGGAACACCGGUGGCGAAGGCGGUUCUCUGGGCCUUACCUGACGCUGAGGAGCGAAAGCGUGGGGAGCGAACAGG
rnacentral:rRNA from 1 species